rnacentral:rRNA from 1 species
AACGAACGCUGGCGGCAUGCCUAACACAUGCAAGUCGAACGAGACCUUCGGGUCUAGUGGCGCACGGGUGCGUAACGCGUGGGAACCUGCCCUUAGGUUCGGAAUAACUCCCCGAAAGGGGUGCUAAUACCGGAUAAUGUCUUCGGACCAAAGAUUUAUCGCCUUUGGAUGGGCCCGCGUUGGAUUAGCUAGUUGGUAGGGUAAAAGCCUACCAAGGCGACGAUCCAUAGCUGGUCUGAGAGGAUGAUCAGCCACACUGGGACUAAGACACGGCCCAGACUCCUACGGGAGGCAGCAGUGGGGAAUAUUGGACAAUGGGCGAAAGCCUGAUCCAGCAAUGCCGUGUGAGUGAUGAAGGCCUUAGGGUUGUAAAGCUCUUUUACCCGGGAUGAUAAUGACAGUACCGGGAGAAUAAGCUCCGGCUAACUCCGUG